GACGAACGCUGGCGGCGCGCUUAACACAUGCAAGUCGAACGGAAAGGCCUGCUUUCCCUUGUGGAUUGCGGGUACUCGAGUGGCGAACGGGUGAGUAACACGUGAGUGAUCUGCCCCCAACUUGGGUAUAAGCCUGGGAAACUGGGUCUAAUUCCCGAUAGGACUGCAGGGUGGUGCCUGUGGUGGAAAGCGAUUUUCUAGUGGUUGGGGAUGAGCUCGCGGCCUAUCAGCUUGUUGGUGGGGUAAUGGCCUACCAAGGCGGCGACGGGUAGCCGGCCUGAGAGGGUGGACGGCCACAUUGGGACUGAGAUACGGCCCAGACUCCUACGGGAGGCAGCAGUGGGGAAUAUUGCACAAUGGGCGGAAGCCUGAUGCAGCGACGCCGCGUGGGGGAUGACGGCCUUCGGGUUGUAAACUCCUUUCGACCGCGAGGAAGCCACCUGGUUGGAAGGGUGGUGACGGUAGUGGUAGAAGAAGCACCGGCUAACUACGUG
rnacentral:rRNA from 1 species